UGGGCGAAAGCCNGACGCAGCAACGCCGCGUGGUAGGAUGAAGGCCUUCGGGUCGUAAACUCCUGUCAGUAGGGACGAAUGCUUCGCAAGUAAGUUUGACUGUACCUGCUGAGGAAGCCACGGCUAACUCCGUGCCAGCAGCCGCGGUAAUACGGAGGUGGCAAGCGUUGUUCGGAAUUACUGGGCGUAAAGGGCGCGUANGCGGCUUGGCAAGUCAGAUGUGAAAGCCCCGGGCUUAACUCGGGAAUUGCAUCUUGAAACUGCUUAGCUUGAGUCCUGGAUGGGAUAGUGGAAUUCCCAGUGUUAGCGGUGAAAUGCCUUAAAUAUUGGGAAAGAACACCCUGCGGCGAAGGCGGC
rnacentral:rRNA from 1 species